rnacentral:rRNA from 1 species
GAUGAACGCUGGCGGCGUGCCUAACACAUUCAAGUCGAACGGAGUUGAAUAUCUUAAUCUUCGGAAGCGGAUGUUUGACUUAGUGGCGGACGGGUGAGUAACGCGUGAGUAACCCACCCUUAUGAGUGGAAUAACACAGGGAAACUUGUGCUAAUACCGCAUGACAAGUAGAGAUCGCAUGUUCUUUACUUCAAAGAUUUAUCGCAUAAGGAUGGACUCGCGUCCGAUUAGAUAGUUGGCGGGGUAACGGCCCACCAAGUCGACGAUCGGUAGCCGGACUGAGAGGUUGAACGGCCACAUUGGAACUGAGAUACGGUCCAG